AGCCUAGCCAUCUUGUUCUCUUUCCCCCCACAAUCAAAUCUCACCCUCGUUAUCACUUUCUGGGAUCUCUCUAGGGUUUCUAGCUUCCCAACCGUUCCAUCAAAUUUCCGCUUUGAUUUUUCAGCAACCAAACACCCUGAUGUCUCCUCGUUCAUCAAUGCCAUCGAUUCCUCCCUAACACUGUCAGAAAGAUGCAAGUCUUGCGAAACUCGGGCUCCAUCUGGGACUCAAUGACAUCGAAUCACGAUCGUUGAUAGACUUGUGGAUCUGCACGGCACUUGAGAGGAAGGUGAAGGAGCUGGAUCUAUUUAUGCUACCCAAGGCAAGAGCCAAGCCUUACGGCUUGCCAGGUAAAGUUUUUGCUACCAAAACAAUUAUAGUUCUCAGUGUACAGGAUUGCAGAUUGGAAAUCUGUGGUGAUAUAGAUCUGCACGGCACUAGAAAGUGUAUUUAGGACAAAUCCAAUGUGAUGAACAAUAAAUUCAGAAACUAAUAUCAAGUUUGCCCUUUGAUCGAUUGUUUGGACAUCGUAUCUUGCCAUGGGUUGCAAAAGCUUCAUGUUUUGGGGCUUGCUAAUCUACAUAGGCUGGAAGUACUUUGCUGUUAAGAAUUGAAAAGGAUAGAAAUGGAUUUCAAAUUGAAGAUUCCUAUUGGCUCUCUUUGAAUCUUCGAAAAAAUUGAUUUGAAAAUAAAGGAGGGAAAAGAAAAUAUGAUAGAAAUAGGAAGAUAUUUAAAGAUUUGAAAGUUUUCCUGUUUAAAAAAUAGAGAUUGUUGGAGAGAGUGGAGUGGAUGAAAAUUUUCCUUGUAUGUUUUUGGGUUAAUCUCUUCAAAGCAUUCAAUUUUCUCCAGUCAUUUGUACAAAAUAUGAGUGAGAUUGUGCCCAUGUCAGUGAGAAAAGAGUGGACCUUAGAACUAAGAAAUGGGGGAGGUUCUUCCUCUUCUUUCUCUUCUUUUUAAUUUUUCUAAACUUAAAAUUCAAAUCACCCAAAUUUCACCGGUAAUUUUUCGAUAUAUAUGAGCUAGGUGGUGCCCAAGUCAGUGUUUGCUUUUACUGCCACAGAGCUUUGGUUGUCUUCAACAGGUCAUUCAGUGGAAACUAUGUUCUCCCAUGGAUUUAUGAUUUUAUAUUAUAUUAGUGAAUCAUAGUCAACACAUAGUAUCUCAGGAACCAGUGACCCAGCUUCUUGGUUCGUUGUACAAGAGCCCAAAGUAUUAGUUGGUGGCAAUGACUUCUAUGCCUUCCCUCAUGUGGACCCUAAAGCAGAAAGGAUUGCAUGGAUCAAGUGGUGCCCCCCUGACUGUACUCAAAACAAGCACAUGAAGGAUGGAGAAGCACAUUAUUUUUGAACUUCUCUUGAGAAGUUAUUCCCCAACAUGGAUGGAUAUUUUGAGACCCUAACUCAAGUUGAAACAUUCAUCAUUGGAACAGAAGCUUGUGCAGUUGAUAGUCCAAAAACCAGGGUUCAGGCAAACCCUAUUAAGAGCAAAAUCGGCCAAUCAAGUAAUUCAAAUAUCAAAAGGGUCCCAAAACAAUUAACAAGCAGUCGUCUUCAGUUUGUGAACCGAGACCCCUGGAGAAGACCAAGGGAAUCAACAAUCUUAGCUGCAUAAAUUCAAGGACAGAGUGGAUUGAAGCCUGGCCGUGAAGGAAGCUCAACAAGGGUCUAGCCAUGACUGAUUACAUGACAAGUUAGCAAUGUAAGUCUAUUUGAUUUGGAAGGUGUGAAAGAAAGUUUGUUAAAAUUCUUCAUGCAUGUUUUGGGGCUAUGGGGCAACCUGUUUUUGAUUUCAAGGAUAACAUUUGUAUCCUACAUUACUAACAUUUUCUACUUUCCAAAAAUGCAUUCAAAUCCAAUGGAUAUAAUCUUCA